rnacentral:lncRNA from 1 species
CUGUUAUAAUUUAAAGCUUGCUCUAGACCUAAACUUGUGGGAUGAAAACUUAAUCUGAAGUCUAAGUUGUUAACGGAUACGAUAUGGGAAGGUUGAGCUGCUGUUUAUCUGUUCCUAGAGAUGCUAGAAUUCUGGAGAAUUUUAUCUUUGAAAAUCUUUUAAAAUGUUGCAUGAUGAGUUCCUGUAUGAUGAGAGUUUAAAUUCCUACCACAGCCAUAUAUACAUGCUUGCUAGACUUUGAGCUACACAUUUACUAUUUACUGCUUAUGAGCAUUGAGUGUGGUCAAGCUGUGUAGACCCUUAGGAACUUGUCAUGUGGUUAAAUCAAGAUUUCACUUGCACGUUCACUCAUAUAUGCUACUUCUACUCCGGAAGUACCAUCCACAUAUAUCCAUCCAUUUCCAUCUCCAGAACCACCUAAAAAUAUUCUACUCCUGAUCCAGGAGAGAAUAACCAAAAAUAUUUUUGUUUUUCCCUUGUGAAAUAAAUGCUCAAGUUAUCUUGUUACUACCACUUGCUAUAUUGUCUCAAGAGAUGAAUGCUCUAAAAAAAAGAGUGAAAUACGAGGAAAUAAAAAGGAGCAAGUGCUCGGAACCUCGAAAGAAAAGAGAGAGUGAGACGAGAGGUAAAAAUGGACAAGUGUCCGACGGUAGAAUUAGGGGUGCAAGAUACCCACCUGAGAGAAAAGAAAAAGAAGAGCAUCUCAUUCUCCUCAUAAAGGUUCAAAAAAAGCAAGGAAGGUAUGUAUCCCCUCAAAGAGCAAAGUAGAAUUAGACAUCCACCACCAUUGUUUUCACCAUUGUUAUCACCAUCACCACCAUACAUCAUUUAUUCGCCACACAUGCACAUCUUGAUUAAACUCAUUGGCUUGUUUCUUUGGAUCCAUGGUUUGACUAUGCAAUACAUGUCUUGUAAGUAUGUAUACUUUAUUUCCCACCUAUGAGCUCCAGAUAUUAAAGCCUUAUUAGAGUAGGGUGAGAGCGAAGGCAAUGUGACUAUGCCUUAUACCACAAAUACUACAUAUCUUGAGAGAAGGCAUAUACCAUCACUGCCUUGGUAAGGAUCCAGAAAUACCACAAAAGAGAGACCUGAGAGAAUCAUACAAGGAAUCUCUGAGUUUUAUUUGAAAAUCUGCAAAAAACCCCAGAGCUAUAGCUGAUCAAGAAUAAGAAACAUGGCACUUGACUAGACUGUUCUAUCUUUUAACCUCUCAAGAUAGAAGUGAUAGUUACAAGUCCCAUGGUGAAGGUAAAGUAAGUAAGUUUUAAGUCUUGACAGUUUACUCUAGCUUAGAGAUGAGAUCUUAUUUAAAAAGCAUGUGUACCGUCAAAUUUUAAAUAUAUUGCAAUAACUUAUGAUCCAUAGCUGAGUCUAUCCUUGCUCAGGGAUGAGCAAGAGGUAAGCUUGGGAGAGUUUGUUGACGGUCCUUAAGUAUCAAAUUUAAUUAUCAAAUAAAUAAAGAAAAGGAUCCAAAUGAAAUCAACAUCUAGAUUUAGGGUUUUAUCUGACAGAAUUCCACGAGUUUUGGUGUUUGUCUAUUUCUGCAGGGGGUUAUCAGGAAAUAUGGAAGAAAGGCCCACACGUCGGGAUUAUAUAGAGAUAUUAAUGUGCCGCGCAAUUUUUUUACAUCUAGAAGACUCCAGAAGCCACGAGACCGAAGCGGAGGCGAAACGGGGCCAGAGGCAGGGCGCCCGCCCUCCUGCCCUGGGCGCCCGCCCCCUCUGGGAGUCCAAUCAGGACUCUGCUUCGCGGGAGAUCUCCACCGACCUAAAGGAUGAAUCUAAACCAUACAAUCUAUGUCGGUUUGAUCCAAUGGCCCAUAUUCACUUGAAGGGACUACGAAACCAGACCCCCUGGCCCCUGGAGGAGGGAGCCUCUCAACCCUAAUUCAUUGUUCCAUCAAGGGAGAAGAAGCCUCUGAUCAAGAUUAGAGCCACCACAUCAAUUAGAUAUCUAGAUUAGCAUAGCUACAUAGGAUUAGAACUAGAAGGAGUCAAUCUUUGAUUGGUUUCCGGAUCUGUCAAGAGAUAUCUAAUUAUCUUUGUUCUUCAAUAUUAUGAAUAUGACUUUGUUCUACUUCAAUAUAUUGCUUAUGACUUUGCUCUACUUGCUUAUAUUCAAGAUUAUAUUGUUCUUAGUUUAUCAUAGUUAUGUACUUGACUUAGUUAGAUUGGAUCUAUAUACAUGCUUAGGAUCGUAUAGCGUUUAUCCAUCGGAUCCAUGGGUAAAUGAUAGAUAUUGUGUAGGCGUGGUUGUUAUACCGUAUUUAUCUGCGAUUGUACCCAAUAUGCCAGAUCGUGGGGUGGUUCAUGAUAGUGACAACUUCAUUGAUUCUUAUAUAGCCCCCCUCUCGUGUAUUGGGCUGGCAGAGCAACAUUAUUACAGGGGAGUGAUUGCUAUGUUUCUCAUUUACCUUGCUAAUAUCACUAUGCAUGGCCGUAGUCUUGUCUCGCAAUGAUUGCUAAGUAUGCUUGCACUAACUAUGAUAUGCUAGACUAUAUAGUUGAGAAUAACUUAGGGAAUAUUCUUGUAGUUCGUUCUAAUACCAUGCUAAUGACUUUCUAGAGUAUCUAAUUGAGGUGCUUAUCAUAUUUAUUAUGUGGCUAGAUCAGAUUAAUUAUCCUUGUCACUAUUCAUUAUUUCAUAUAUCUUUUAUGUGACACUUAUCCCUGUAUGAAGAGUUAGAUAUAAUGUUCUCAAUUAUACAUGCAAUGAUAGAUGCUCAAUCUCAUAUUCUAUUCUGUAAUCAAUAUUGAUGAUUGCUAAUCCCUUCCUAGUGGUAAAAAUAUAAAUAACAAUACCUGGAAUACUUCCCGGUUAAAAUGCUACAUCGGUAUUAAUCUGUGCGCUUGCAGAUCCCAUUCAUUAUUUAUUUAGAAGAGCAAUUGCAUAUUUCAAUACCGCGUCUCUUAUAUCAUGCUGGGGAUGACAACUUGGCUUAAGUGGUGUGAGGGAUAGGUUUGGCAUUUUUGGCACCGUUACUAGAUUUAGAGAACUUAGUCUACUUUUGGUAAUGAUGUUAAGAAUACCCAACAAUCACCCCUUGUUUAUCUAUCUUAUCCUAUGUAGAUAAGCACAGAGUCUAUGCUUAGCUUGCUUAGUCCGGUAGAAGUCGGCUGAUUCCUUGUCACCUGCGAGAUAUAGAUGGACACCUGUUUGAUUAGCCGUAAUGCUAUGGAGAAAGGUAAACAAGUGUGGAAAGGAAAUUGAGACCGAGUAAGGUCUUAUGGUGGGGUUGACCAUAGUGCCCCUGCCUGUGUUGAUUAAGGACCGAUCGUUGACGACCCUCUUGACAUGUUGAACGCAUGCUCCACACUUAGCUGGAACGAUAAGUCAUUCCGACCGCGAAGCCUGAACACUAUCCGGGCCGGGAGUCGAGCCGCCAUGCGCUGUAUUGGUGAUGGUUGAGGAGAACGACGAGGGCGCGGCGCGCAACCUUGGUAUACCUUGGAUACCUCGGUCGCCGAAACGGUCCUCGGGUACUGGCGGUGCCUGCUGAACCCGCGAUUUGGUCCUGGAUAGUGUAAUACGGUGAUCUGUAGCUCACUUGAUCAGUGUGUGUGGUUUGUGUGGGGAAUAACUCGCCAGCUGGUCAGAAAUCGAUUCAAAUCGCCAUCGCUCCUGGAUAGUGAGCACUUGACAUGAGCCCUGUCCUCGUAGUAAGGACUAUGGAACACUUGGGUUAUGAUGAUUAAUGUUUAUGAAUGCUAUGAUGAGGUACCAUCAUAUUACUACAUUUGUUUGAAAUUGUACAGGUGCAAAUCUAGAUGAUAGGUAAUAAUACCUAACCUGAGCUAAUUAAACGAAAGGAGAGUACUAUUAGGAUGUACUUCUAGUGAGUGGUGCUUUUUGCAAAAAGUCUCAGCUACCCCACUAUACAGCCUUCAUGAUCCUUGAAGAGUCUUUGAUUUAUGUCGGGUAAGUCUAGCUGAGUAUAUUCUCAUACUCAGGGUUCUAUCCCCAUGUUGUUUUACAGAUGGGCAAAUGUACUAUGGUUAUUGCAUCCUCUGCCUAUACUGUUGACAGUCCUUAAGUAUCAAAUUUAAUUAACAAAUAAACAAAGAAAAUGAUCCAAAUAAAAUCAACAUCUAGACUUAGGGUUUUAUUUGACAGAAUUCCAUGAGUUUUAGUGUUUGUCUAUUUCUGCAGGGGGUUAUCAGGAAAUAAGGAAGAAAGGCCCACACGUCGGGAUUACAUAGAGAUAUCAACGUGCCGUGCAAUUAUCUUACAUCUAGAAGACUUCAGAAGCCACGGGAAGGAAGCGGAGGCCGAACGGGGCCAGGCACUGGGCGCCCGCCCAGUUGACCUGGGCGCCCGCCCCCUCUCAGAGUUCAAUCUGGACUCUCUUUCGGAAAAGAUCUCCACCGACCUAAAGGAUCAAGGAUAACCGUUCAAUCAAUGUCGGUUUGAUCCAACGGUCCAUAUUCACUUGAAGGGACUAUAAAACCAGACCCCCUGGCCCCUGGAGGAGAGAGCCUCUCAACCCUAAUUCAUUAUUCCUCAAGGGAGAAGAAGCCUCUGAUCAAGCCUAGAGCCACCACAUCAAUUAGACAUGUAGAUAAGCAUAGCUACAUAGGAUUAGAACUGGAAGGAGUCAAUCUUCGAUAGGUUUCUGAAUCUGUCAAGAGGAUUCUUGGUAAUUCUCUAAUUGUUCUUCUAAUUGUUCUUCUAAUCAUCUUUGUUCUUCAAUAUUGUGAAUAUGACUUUGUUCUACUUCAAUAUAUUUCUUAUGACUUUGCUCUACUUGCUUAUAUUCAAGAUUAUAUUGUUCUUAGUUUAUCAUAGUUAUAUACUUGGCUUAGUUAGAUUGGAUCUAUAUACAUAUUUAGGAUCGUAUAGCGUUUAUCCAUCAGAUCCAUGGGUAAAUGAUAGAUAUUGUAUAGGCGUGGUGCUUAUACCGUAUUUAUCUGCGAUUGUACCCAAUAUGCGAGAUCGUGGGGUAGUUUGUGAUAGUGACAGCUUCAUUGAUUCUUAUAUAGUCCCCCUCUCGUGUAUUGGGCUGGCAGAGCAAUAUUAUUAUAGGGGAGUGAUCGCUAUGUUUCUCAUUUACCUUGCUAAUAUCACUAUGCAUGGGCGUAAUCUUGUCUCACAAUGAUUGCUAAGUAUGCUUGCACUAACUAUGAUAAUGCUAGACUAUAUAGUUGAGAAUAACUAAGGAAAUAUUCUUGUAGUUUGUUCUAAUACCAUGCUAAUGACUUUCUAGAGUAUCUAAUUGAGGUGCUUAUCAUAUUUAUUAUGUGGCUAAGUAUGCUGAUCAGAUUAAUUAUCUUUGUCACUAUUCAUUACUUCAUAUAUCUUUUAUGUGACACUUACCCCUAUAUGAAAGAGUUAGAUAAAUAUUCUCAAUUAUACAUGCAAUGAUAGAUACUCAAUCUCAUAUUCCAUUCUAUAAUCAACAUUGAUGAUUACUAAUCCCUUCCCAGUGGUAAAAAUAUAAAUAAUGAUACCUGGAAUACUUCUCGGUUAAAAUGCUACAUCGGUAUUAAUCUGUGCGCUUGCAGAUCCCAUUCAUUAUUUAUUUAAAAGAGCAAUUGCAUAUUUCAAUACCGCGUCUCUCAUGUCAUGCUGGGGAUGACAACUUGGCUUAAGUGGUAUGAGGGAUAGGUUUGGCAUUUUUGGCACCGUUAUCAGAAUUAGAAAACUAAGUCUACUUUUGGUAAUGAUGUUAAGAAUACCCAACAAGCAUUUUUGGCGCCGUUGCCGGGGAAGGUUGAUUACUAAUCAGGAAUGGAUAUGGAUUUUGAGUUAUCAUUCGCAUCACUAAUAUGAUUGAGCUUAUUAAUUCUCUCAUACAGUUUUACCCCCAUAUUUUUCUAUUUUAUCUUAUGCAGGGUAAUGUAUGAAUAGAAGACAUCUUCUAGUAAAUUUUGUUGACAAUCCCGAAGCAUUAUUUAGAAAAACAAGAGCCAAGCUCAAGAAGAGAUCAUCAACACUUCAGCAAGAAGCUUCAUCCAAUCAAGAAGAUCAUCAGAACUUGUCUUCAGAGUUCGAAGCUAUGGCGAACAAAUCGAUCCGUGAGUUCUCAGCUCCCACUACGGACAACAUCCGCACUGGACCUGCUGUAGAGAUCGAUGGCAACUUUGAGCUCAAGCCUGGACUUAUCAACAUGGUGCAAUCCAACCAGUUCUGUGGGAAGGCACACGAAGAUGCUAAUGCUCAUCUCCAACACUUUCUGGAGAUUUACAAGACAUUCACCAUAUCAGGAGUCCCCAGAGAUGCUAUACUACUUUGCCUCUUCCCAUUCUCACUGUUGGGGAGAGCGAAGCAGUGGUUCUAUGCUACAAAGGAGAAGAAUACUACGUGGGCACUCUGCUCAACAAACUUUCUGGUUAAAUUCUUUCCCAUGGGCAAGACCAAUGCUCUCCGUGGGAAGAUUACAAGUUUUCAGCAACAACAUGAUGAAUCUGUUCCAGAAGCAUGGGAGCGCUUCCAAGACUACAUCCUAGAAUGUCCCCAUCAUGGAAUGGAGAGUUGGCUACUAAUGCAGACAUUUUAUCAUGGGCUCGGCAACAGUGCCCGAGAAACCAUGGAUGCUGUAGCUGGAGGAGCAUUGCUAUCACUUACCAUAUCACAAGCCACAGCUCUUGUGGAGAAGAUGGCGUCCAACCAAGGCUAGAAUAAAGAGAGGACCCAGACACGCAAGAAAAGUGGAGGUAUGCAUCAGCUCAAGGAGGUAGACAUGUUGUCUGCUAAGCUAGACCUACUCAUGAAGAAGCUCGAUGAUAGAGCUAGAGAUAAGAAGGAAGUUAUGCACAUCUACGACUCUCACAUGACUUGUGAGGAGUGUGGAGAUACUGGACACUCAGGCAAUCACUGCCCUGAGAUGCUUGAGGAUGUGAACUACAUCAACAAUAACAACAACAACUACUACAACCGUCCUCAACAAAAUCAAGGUUGGAAUCAACAGAGGCCUAACUACUCAGGUAAUUAUCAAGGUAAUAAUUCUUACAACAAUAAUAAUAAUUUCCCACUUCUAAGAGAGUUAGUGUCUAAUAAAGGAAAGCUAAUGGAUAACCUAUCCAAGAAAUUGGCAUCUAAUGAUAAAAUGCUAGAAAAUAUAAAUAAUAGAAUGGAUAAUUUCUCUUCUGCCAUCGAGAAUCAAAUUAGCUUUAAUAAAAUGAUUGAAUCCCAGUUAAAUCAAAUAGCUGCUGCUGUUCCUGCUACUAACCUCGGUAUAUCAUCACAACCGGAAGGAUUAGAAUCUGUAAAUCUUGUAGACAUGUUUGAUGCAUGUAACUACUGGAGUAACCCCGUCACUGAAGUUACUACUGACCUUCUGCCGGUUGUUGACGGUUCUUAAGUAUCAAUUUUAAUUAUCAAAUAAACAAGAGAAAGGACCAAUAUGCAACCAACACCUAGAAUUAGGGUUUGAUCUGACAGAAUUCCAUGAGUUUUGUUGUUUAUCUGUUUCUAUAGGGGGUUAUCAGGAAAGAAGGAAGAAAGGCCCACAUGUCGGGAUUACAUAGAGAUAUCAACGCACCGCGCAAUUUUCUACCAUCUAGAAGACUCCAGAAGCCACGGGAAGGAAGUGGAGGCCGAACGGAGCCAGGCCCUGGGCGCCCGCCCAGUUGACCUGGGCGCCCGCCCCCCUGCACAGUUGGAUGAGGACUCUCUUUCGGCACUAAUUUCCACCAACCUAAAGGAUCAAGGAUAACCGUCCAAUCAAUGUCGGUUUGAUCCAACGGCUCACGUUCACUUGAGGGGACUAUAAAACCAGACCCCCUGGCCCCUGGAGGAGACAAGUUCAUCAUAGAGUUGAGAGGAGCCCUCGAAGGAAUACCUCUCCUCUAAAUAAAAUUUCUUUUUAGGCUUAGCAACCAAUGUGAGUAGAAAUAGAUCUUCUCGUUUCUACUAGAUUGAGAGAGAUAGAGUGGAGGUGUAGAUCGGAGGAAGCCCGGCCUGUCGGUGUCUACUCCGAGCUUGUACCUGCGGGAUCAAGUUCUCCUAACCUGAGGAUUGCUCCUAGGAUUCUUCAGUAUUUUGACUUCUAAAUUCUAGUAAGUUCUUCUUUUAUUGUUCUUUUGGUUUAUGAGUUUACUUUAAUCUCUUCGCGUAGAGUUUAGAGUAAUCAUUUCUAGCGUAGACAUGGUGUUUGGGCUAGGAUACUCAUAGAUAUUCCCUGACUAGCUGGACCAUGGUAGUAGCGAGGAACGUGACAUUUCCGAGUUACCUUUGAAGACCAUAUCUCGUUAGCGGGAAGGAUAGGGUUUAUAGGUGCGGGUUGAACAUCCUCUGUGGUCUCUAGAUUCCGUUAGCCUCCCCAAUAGAACAGUAAAUCAUCCUUACCAAGGUUAGAAGGAGAUUACGGUUGUAGUCUUCUCUAUAUAUCACUCACAUCGAGAAACAUUCUUUGUAGCCUAAAGGGUUAGUAGUAAUAGACCGGGUUAGUCAGAUGCACUCUUUCUCCUAGUGAUAAAAAAAUAAAUACGAUACUCUGGAUAACCUCCCGGGUGAAGUGCUCACUGAUAUCCGUGCGCUUGCGGAUCAAUUCCUUAUUGCGUUCUCAAAUAUCAACAAGCAUUUCUAGCGCCGUUGCCGGGGAGAAAGACGGUUUGCUGAGAUAACCUUGAGUCUUACUACUAGCUUGUAUCUAUACUUUUAUCUUUUCUUAUCUUUUAUAUUCUUUGCUUAUUUUCUUUAUUCUUACCUUAUGGAAAACCAAAAUUCUAAAUCGAUCCAUGAAUCUACAAUCCCUUCAGUAACUGACCUUUUACCAUGGGAGUCAUCACAGCCUAUCCAAACAUCCCAGUAUAAGUUAAGUUCUAGGUUGAUUGUCAUGAUUCAAAACCUAUCUUUUUGGGAAAGGAAGACAAAAACCCUUACCUUCAUAUUAGAGUUUUUGAGCAAACAUGUGAUUGUCUUCGCAUUGAGGUCAUUUCUGAUAAAACUUUAUGUUGGAAGCUUUUUCCUUUUUCCUUAAGGGGAGAAGCUAGACAAUGGUACAGUCAGAAGGUAAGUCAACAAUGAGGUGAAUGGGGAGUUUUACGAGCCAACUUUUGUCUAGAUUUUUAUUCCCUCGACCGUAUCGGCGACCUUAGACUCGAAGUCUUAUCUUUUAAACAAAAAGAUAAUGAAACUUUGGGAAAAUCCUAGAAACGUUUUUCUGAUCUUUUAGAAUCUGGUCCGAACCUUAAUCUUGAAGACCCUGUUCUUUUAUUUCACUUUUUUUAAGGUUUUUAGAAAGAUCAUAAACAAAUGCUACAUACAAUGUCUAGAGGUUCUUUCUUUCGCAUCCCUACUGAUGAAGCUAGAGUGAUCCUAGAUAGAAUCCUAGAAACUGAGAUGGAUAAUACCCUUCAUGAUGAAACCCACGAAGCCGAAGUAGACACUCUACCAAAUUCUUCAUAUACUUUAGCUAUCCCAAGUUCUGAGCCACAAAAGGAAGAAAUUCCACCACCGAACUUCAUGUUAGAUAUAGAAUCUGAUCUUUUUGCCCAUUUUGGAAACAUUUCAAACUACCAUUCUAUUAACAGACCCCAAAACGGCCAGUUUAGCAUUUGUUUACCAAAUGAAUAUCAAUUGAGAGAGCUUAUUUCAGUCAUGAGUAGCGAGUGGUUGGAGGAAUCAGAGCUUUCCUCUGAUGUGAUCCGUUUGGGCACACCCUCUAUAACUAUACGCUGUGCUUAUAAUUCUGAUCGAUUUGAUGCUCUCUAUAAUCCUGUUGUGGGGAUCAACAUCAUGUCUGAAUCUUUUGCACUUAAAUUAUUUAAAAAUCUUGUCUUAACCCCCACAACAAAGGUCAUAAAGGAAUCUUCGGGACGAUUAGUCCCCAGUCUUGGAAUUAUUAAUGUCCUACCUCUUACGGUAGAAGGCUCCAUGGUUUAUUUGAACUUCUAUAUCUUUGAUACAUGGGACUUCGACCUGUUGAUAGAACAACCUUUUAGAAGACUCCUUUAUGAAGGUCAUACUGGAAAGCUACACAUUUCUUUUGGAAAAACCUUUAAAUUCCCAAUAACAAUUUCACACUCCUCAAACAAUAAGGUCGAGUCAUAUCUUUUGCCUGAUCCUAUGGAGGAGGUAAAGGCUGCAUCUCUAGAGCUUUUAGAUGAACCAGACUUAGAAGACGAAGCUCCUUUCUUCACAGAAGAAGAAGCUGAACCUUCUGAACCUGAACCCUUAGAUGAGUUUGCAGAAACACCUAGACCUCCCAUAGAGCUUAAAACUUUACCACCCAGUCUUAUCAAUGUUUUCCUAAACAAUAAUCUAGAGUUUCCUGUGAUCAUUAGUGAUAAACUCACUCAGGAUCAAACUCUGCGAUUAAUGACCAUUCUUGAGAAACAUCACUCAGUUUUCGGCUACUCACUCCAAGAUCUUACAGGAAUCAGUCCUAUGAUUUGUACCCAUCGUAUCCCAAUAGAUCCUUCUGCUUCACCUUCUCGAGAGCCCCAACGUAGACUUAACAACACUAUGAGAGAGGUAGUUAAGAAGGAAGUUAUAAAGUUGCUGCAUGCAGGGAUUAUAUAUCCUGUCCCGCACAGUGAGUGGGUGAGCCCAGUUCAAGUUGUGCCUAAAAAGGGAGGCAUGACUGUCAUUAUGAAUGAAAAGAACGAGCUAAUUCCGCAACGCACCAUCACAGGAUGGCGAAUGUGCAUAGACUAUAGAAAACUGAACAAAGCCACGAGAAAGGAUCAUUUUCCUUUACCUUUCAUAGAUGAGAUGCUAGAGCGAUUAGCGAACCAUUCGUUCUUCUGUUUCUUAGAUGGAUAUCCAGGGUAUCACCAGAUCCCGAUCAAUCCUGAUGAUCAAAGCAAAACCACUUUUACAUGCCCGUAUGGAACUUAUGCUUACUGUAUAAUGUCUUUUGGGUUAUGUAAUGCACCAGCUUCUUUUCAAAGAUGCAUGAUAUCUAUAUUUUCUGAUAUGAUUGAAGAGAUUAUGGAAGUUUUCAUGGAGGAUUUCUCUGUUUAUGGAAAAACUUUUGAUAGUUGUCUUGAAAACUUAGACAAGGUUUUGCAAAGAUGUGAAGAAAAGCACUUAGUCCUUAAUUGGGAAAAAUGUCAUUUUAUGGUUAGGGAAGGAAUAGUGCUGGGACACCUAGUGUCUGAAAGAGGUAUUGAGGUAGACAAAGCUAAAAUUGAAGUAAUUGAACAACUACCUCCACCUGUGAAUAUAAAAGGAAUUCGAAGCUUUCUUGGCCAUGCUGGUUUCUAUCGCAGAUUCAUAAAAGAUUUCUCAUUCAUUGCUAGACCACUUACUCUUUUGCUAGCCAAGGAUGCUCCUUUCGAAUUUGAUGAUGCAUGCUUAACAUCUUUCAAUUUAUUAAAGAAAGCACUCAUCUCUGCACCAAUCAUUCAACCCCCUGAUUGGUCGUUGCCUUUUGAAAUUAUGUGUGAUGCUAGUGAUUAUGCUGUGGGGGCAGUUUUGGGACAAACUAAAAAUAAGAAGCAUCAUGCAAUUGCUUAUGCCAGUAAAACUUUGACUGGAGCUCAACUUAAUUAUGCAACCACUGAAAAAGAGCUUCUGGCUGUUGUCUUUGCUAUUGAUAAAUUUAGAUCUUAUUUAGUUGGAGCUAAAAUAAUUGUUUACACUGAUCAUGCUGCACUAAAAUAUUUGCUCACUAAAAAAGAUGCUAAACCUUGCCUGAUUAGAUGGAUCUUAUUACUCCAAGAAUUUGAUUUAGAAAUAAAAGAUAAAAAGGGAGUAGAAAAUUUUGUUGCUGAUCACUUGUCUAGAAUGUAUUUUAAGAGUCCACAGGAAACUCCCAUCAAUGAUUCACUCCGGGACGACAUGCUCUACGAGAUUAACAGAUCUGACCCCUGGUAUGCAGAUAUUGUUAAUUUUAUGGUUUCAGGGUAUGUACCGCCAGGAGCAAACAAGAAGAAGCUUAUUCAAGAAAGUCGUUCACAUAUAUGGGAUGAGCCAUACCUCUUCCAGGUAUGCUCUGAUGGCUUACUCAGGAGAUGUGUGACCACUGAGGAAGGAUGGAAGAUUAUCGACAGAUGUCAUUCAUCACCAUAUGGAGGUCAUUAUGGAGCAUUCCGUACACAUUCAAAGAUCUGGGCAGUGUGGAUUCUACUGGCCUACAAUGUAUGAAGACACGAAGCAAUAUAUCAUAAGAUGUGGGCCAUGUCAAAGGCACGGAAACAUAAACACAAGAGAUGCCAUGCCACUCACCAACAACCUUCAGAUUGAGCUCUUUGAUGUUUGGGGAAUAGACUAUAUGGGUCCAUUUCCCCCAUCAAAGAAGUGUGAGUACAUCUUGGUGGCAGUUGAUUAUGUCUCCAAGUGGGUAGAGGCACUACCUUGCAAGCAUGCCGACAACAUCAGUUCAAAGAGGAUGUUUGAAGAAAUUAUGUUUCCAAGAUUUGGAGUCCCCAGAGUAGUGAUAAGUGAUGGAGGAGCACACUUCAUCGACAACGCUUCAAGCAAUAUCUAUCAAAACAUGGAAUCCGUCACAACAUCGCUACCCCCUAUCAUCCUGAGAUAAGUGGCCAAGCAGAGACUUCCAACAAGCAAAUCAAGAAUAUUCUUCAGAAGACAGUGAAUGAAAUGGGAACGGCAUGGAAAUACAAGUUACCCGAUGCACUCUGGGCAUACCGGACAGCAUACAAGACCCCAAUUGGAAUGUCCCCAUACCAAUUGGUGUACAGGAAGACUUGCCACCUACCUGUUGAACUAGAGUUCAAAGCACACUAGGCCAUAAAGAGAUGGAAUAUGGACCUAGAUGUCGGUGGAAAACAUAGAAGAAUGCAACUAUCAAAAUUGGAAGAAUGGCGAGAAAAAGCAUAUCAGAAUUCAAAGAUCUAUAAAGAAAGAGUCAAAAGGUGGCAUGACAAGCGAAUCAAGAAGAAGCAGUUCACACCCGGAGAUAAGGUAUUAUUUUUUAAUUCCAAGGUGAAGCUUUUCGGGCAUAGAAAACUCCGGAGUAAAUGGGAAGGACCAUUCAAGGUAAUCAAUUCAUCAUCUCAUGGAGCUAUCACACUUCAAAAUGAUGAAGAUAUGUCAUUCAAGGUAAAUGGUCAACGUCUUAAAUUAUUUUUAGAGCCCAAUAAAGAAUUAGAAGAAAUAGACGUCGUCCAUUUUUACCUGCCCAUGGAGAAUUAGAGCCCGACCUUUUUAAUCUGACGUUUUUAGGUCAUACAUAUAUUUUCCUAAAAAGUUUUGCAUCUAGAAACACGCUCGAGGAAGCGGGCCCACAAAGGAGACAGAGAGAGGGCGGGCGCCCUGAUCAAGUGGGCGGGCGCCCAGCCCCUGUUCCCCCUCGGUCCCGAUUUUCUCUGUUAUGGAAAAUACACUUAUGGUAAUCCGAAUAAUCCCUCAGAUGGAAAGUUUCUCACGCACAUCGACGGGAGCAACCCGAACAACCCCUAGAGGCACUUUCUGACCCCUAUAUAAAUAGACCCCUGACAUCAGUUCUCAAACACCAAUCUACCCAAGCCUUCUCCUCUUCUUCAAUUAGAGCUUGGUCAGCCCCUCGCUGCUCCAGUGGCCGAGAAGUUCCACGAUGAUUGGGAGGUCAUCCCCUUCAACCUCAACAUGAAGCCUGAGGAAGACCCCGACGCCCAUGCUCUCGUCCCGGCCAACACAGAGCGACAACUAGAAGCCAUGCCAUUAUGCCAGCACAGCUCCGCCCAAUCCUACCAUGCUCAACCAGUUCUCACCACACCACCACAACCCCUGCUCCUCAAGGGAUCAUCAUCCAAGACAAAGACCACCAUCAAGGUGCCAACCGGCACAAGGAUCCUUCCACCUAGAUCCAAUGAGAGGGUAGUUGGAGUCAAGACCAACCGGAGCGGCAAGAUCAGCAGCAUCCGCUACACUACGGAGGAGGAGAGGCCUUACUUUGAAGGGAUAAGAGCAGCCAAAGUCCGUUUCAUCCCUCCAAAGGCAGCCCCGAAGCAUGCUCUCAAUGCUUUUGAGACACCUCCCAAGCAUCGCAAGACUAUAGUAGAUAUUGAUGAGGACGUUCGCAGGCUAGAUAGAGUCAUCAUAGACCUCCAGUCCUCAGUUAAUUCCAUCACUAGGCAGCUCUCUAACCACAACACCGUUAUACUAGGCCUUAGGCAGGAUCUUGCUAGUUCCAAUAAGAAGAUCAAGGAGUUAAAGCGCCGCUGAGUUAUCUAGAUUAGAUCUUGAGGCAAUGCAUCUUAGUUAUCUAUCUUUAAAAUUCGGUUUAGCACUUUUAUCAUCAGUUUGUUACUAUUAUCAUCAGUUUGCUACUAGUGAUUUGUAAUAAAUGCCUCAAGAUUAAUAAAGAAUAUUAUUAUUAUUAUUAUGUCUUGUAUGUCUCUACUUUACUUUUGUGCAAGAAAGCAGAAAACAAGUAUGGGGGAGAUCCCUUGACACGCCAAACACACUUCAACUACACCACUCCACGAUUCAGGUACAUACUCUGCACACUUUACUAUUACACAUACAUAUAUCUUAGAUUAUGCAGAAUAUUGUUUCCGACAUGAUAAAUUAAAAAGAUUAAAAUGCCUCUAAUCAUGAUCAAUCUCACUCUAUGAUAUUUCCUGAAAACUUACAAAAUCAUUCUAAAACCCUGUGUUACUUAGUCAUUAUGGAAUGAUAGAGUGUGAGUACCUUAUUCUUGAUAUCAUUGUUGCUUGGAGAAUUUAUUUCAAAAUCUUCAAAAAAUUCUAGCUACCAUCCUCAGUGUUUUAUAUGCCUGAUAAACCUGAAAAUAUUAACAUGAUAAUUAGAAAAGCUAUCUGCUAUGUAUGAGUUUGUUCAAAAUGAGUUAGACCCUUGUUGAGAGAUUUAUCAUACUCCCAAGAUCAAGACAUUUAUUCAGAAAGAUUCACUCUUCCAAAGUAUUAUUGCAUUAGAGGCAUGGGCUAUGCAAAAAUAAGGAUAUUUCGAGGAAAUAAAAAGGAGCAAGUGCUCGAUAACCUCGCAGAAAAAAAUAGACAAGUGUCUGGAAGUAGAAUUAGGGGUACCUCAGUAUCCACUUAAAAAAAUGAUAGCCCAUGGUCCCUCUAAUAAGCAAUAUGCCAGUAAGAGUUGACAAAGAUUUUAAUUACCAAAGUUUUUGAUCUAAGAGUAUGACAUUCUUCUCCUCGGAUCCUGUUUUGAUCAGGCAAUAAAUGCAAGGUAAGUAUGCUUGAGAAUUUUUGCAAAUUAAAAUAGCCUCAGUGAGAUAUAUAAAAGAUAAUGAGUGAUCUGAGAGAACCUAUGAGGAUAAAAGGUAUGCUAACUUUCUUUUCAAAAGUAUACAAAAACUCCAAGUGACAGGAUCGAAAGGAAGAAAGGAUCUUUACUCUUAACCAUAUAUUUCCCUGACUACAGUAUACAGUGGAUUUUUACAACACCCUGCAAGUAUGAAGAGAAUGUUUUAAAAUUUUUUAUCCCAGAUAUUGUUCUUAACCAUCCUUUUCUCGAGGACGAGUAAAAGCCUAAGUAUGGGGGUAUUUGUUGACGGUUCUUAAUUAUCAAUUUUAAUUAUCAAAUAAACAAGAGAAAGGACCAAUAUGCAACCAACACCUAGAAUUAGGGUUUGAUCUGACAGAAUUCCACGACUUUUGUUGUUUAUCUGUUUCUUCCGGGGGUUAUCAGGAAAUAAGGAAGAAAGGCCCACAUGUCGGGAUUACAUAGAGAUAUCAACGCACCGCGCAAUUUUCUACCAUCUAGAAGACUGCAGAAGCCACGGGAAGGAAGCGGAGGCCGAACGGAGCCAGGCCCUGGGCACCCGCCGAGUUGACCUGGGCGCCCGCCCCCCUGCAGAGUUGGAUCAGGACUCUCUUUCGGGACUGAUCUCCACCGACCUAAAGGAUCAAGGAUAACCGUCUAAUCAAUGUCGGUUUGAUCCAACAGCUCAUGUUCACUUGAGGGGACUAUAAAACCAGACCCCCUGGCCCCUGGAGGAGACAAGUUCAUCAUAGAGUUGAGAGGAGCCCUCGAAGGAAUACAUCUCCUCUAAAUAAAAUUUCUUUUUAGGCUUAGCAACCAAUGUGAGUAGAAAUAGAUCUUCUAGUUUCUACUAGAUUAAGAGAGAUACAGUGGAGGUGUAAAUCGGAGGAAGCCCGGCCUGUCGGUGUCUACUCCGAGCUUGUACCUGCGGGAUCAAGUUCUCCUAACCUGAGGAUUGCUCCUAGGAUUCUUUAGUAUUUCGACUUCUAAAUUCUAGUAAGUUCUUGUUUUAUUGUUCUUUUGGUUUAUGAGUUUACUUUAAUCUCUUCGCGUAGAGUUUAGAGUAAUCAUCUCUAGCGUAGACGUGGUGUUUGGGCUAGGAUACUCAUAGAUAUUCCCUGACUAGCUGGACCGUGGUAGUAGCGAGGAACAUGACAUUUCCGAGUUACCUUUGAAGACCAUAUCUCGUUAGCGGGAAGGAUAGGAUUUAUAGGUGCGGGUUGAACAUCCUCUGUAGUGCCUAGAUUCCGUUAGCCUCCCCAUAGAACAGUAGAUCAUCCUUACCAAGGUUAGAAGGAGAUUACGGCUGUAGUCUUCUCUAUAUAUCACUCACAUCGAGAAACAUUCUUUGUAGCCUAAAGGGUUAGUAGUAAUAGACCAGGUUAGUCAGAUGCACUCUUUCUCCUAGUGGUAAAAAAAUAAAUACGAUACUCUGGAUAACCUCCCGGGUGAAGUGCUCACCGAUAUCCGUGCGCUUGUGGAUCAAUUCCUUAUUGCGUUCCCAAAUAUCAACACCGGUCAAGAGAGGCGAUCCAGGACGCCCUGUCAUCCCGAUCUCCAUCGGCAUGGAGGACUUCCCAGAAGCACUCUGUGACUUUGGCUCUAGUGCCAACAUUAUACCCAGGGUACUCUAUGAAAAAUUCUUUACAUAUCCUUUAUUAGAGACAACCGUGUGUUUGCAGUUUGCAGAUCAGGCAUUAAGUUUCCCAAAGGGAAUAUUGAAGAACCUCUGCGUCCAAGUUGGUACCUUGUACGCCCCAGCAGACUUCGUGGUGAUAGAGACCGGAAAUGAUGAGAGGGCACCCAUCAUCUUAGGGAGGCCAUUCUUAAACACCUCGGGAGGUGUCAUCUACGCUAGCGCUGCCAAGAUUAGUUUCUACAUCAAAGGGAGGAAGGAGACGUUUUCCUUCAAGAACAAGACUACACAAAUCCCAGAUCAAUCCAGACGUGAAUCAAGGAAGAGGACCAACAGGAGGAACAGGAACAAGCAAGUGUGGACCGAGUCAGCUAAGAUGAUCACUGCAGUUCAUGGAGGCCAAGAUCACCAACUUAAGUCACCGUUUUUGACCAAGAGGGAUGACCCACGAAUGCCAAGCAUCUAUUGCUCCAUAAAUGGAUACAACUUCUACAAGACGUUUUGCGACACCGGAUCGGACGUCAACAUAAUGGCCGCAGUCACCUAUGUAACACCCAAGAUUUUGAAUUUUAAUUAAUAGGAUUUAAUUUGAAUUAUUUAAGAAUUUUAGUGAGCAUUUAAUGUAGCAAAUAAAUAAUUUUUGUGGAAAUUAAAAUUUAUCAUAAGCUUAGUAACAUGAUUUUGUGCAUUCAUGCUGAGAUAUAUCUUAUUUUGUGUUGAUUGUAUUUGGUUUAUAUUUAAUUGUCCUCAAAAUCCUUUUUGAAAAAGGCUUUAAAAAAAAAAGAAUAAAACAAAACAGAAAAGAAAUUGGAAAUAGAAAAAAAAAAGAGAAAGGAAGCCUCCCAGGCCGCAGCCCGAGCUUCCCCCUCUCACCCCUCGCGCGGCCCAGCUCCCUCUCCCGGCCCAACGCGCGCGCCUCCUUCUCCCUUCGGCUGACGACCGGGCCCCGCCCCGCUUCUCUCACUGGCAGCGCGGGCCCGCAUGGCAGCGGGCGCCUUCUCCUCCUUCCUUUCCUCUUCGCAACCGAGACGACCUCCCUCUCCUUCCGGAUACGAACGAAUCCCAUUUUGGACGGGAUUUGCCUUUCCCGAGCCCUAUAAGAUGCUAAGCAGUGCCCCGCGUGAUGUCUUUCCCCUCUACGCCGCAAAUACGAGCCCUAACCGCCUCGCGCGUCGUGAACUGGAUCUCGCCGAGUGAAACUCAACCCGCCGCCGCGGAGAGCCCACCUUGCACCCUCUCGGGCCGAACUAAGCGCCUUGGUGAGUUCGUCAUGAGGUCCUCGCUCUCCUGGUGUUCUUAUUUCGUUGUUUGGCGCUCGGAAUCGAGGAAUGGGUGAACUCCGGCGAGCUCGGGCUCCCAGCCAUGGCGCGCCACCGCGUCGGCUCCUGUUUCCGACGGCCGGCCGGCCAGGGGUGGCUCGGGGUGGUUUGGCAGCCGUCCGAUCAGGAUCCUGCGGCCGAGAUAGAAAGAUACCCCUUCGGGGGGUAUUUUUGUUAAAGAAACCCUGAGAAAUCCUAUUUCUAACCCGCGGUCCUUGGCGCCCCGAGCGGGUUUACGCUUUCCAAAUUCAGAAAGCGUAUUCUCUGUUGGUUAAACGAAAAUACGUUUUCAGCUAAUUACAGAACUGCCACUGAACUUAGAUUGCUCAUAAAAUAUUCAUUUUAACUCCGUUUUUGUCCAUUCAAAUUCCGUUGGAUUCGUAUUUACGAUCUCUACAUGUUAGAAGUAUUAGUUUACUGUUUUGAAACUUUUUAAUUCUGCAGUAGCAUUUAAUUAAUUAUUUCUUUAUAGGAAAUCUUAGAAAAUUCAUAUCUUUCACGUUUUAAUUCCGAUUUCCGUGAACUUUACGUUUGUGUGAUCGUAGCGCUGCGUAGAAUAUUAUCAUAAACUUGUAUAUUUGUUUUACCACUGUUUGGUGUAUUGUUCUAAUUAUAUCUUGUUUGCUUCGUGUAUGAUUGUCUACAUUGGAUUGCGUGUUGUUGAUUGAUGAUUGGAAUUAGACGGUGAGCUGUACGUUGGUGAUCAAGACCAAGCUUUUGAAGACCAGCGGGCUCAGGAGAGCUUUGGUCAAGGCAAGUAUAACUUGGGACCAUCCUUGUUACCUAUUCACUUAUAACUACACAUAUAUAUCAUAUGCAUGCUAUCACCUUGUCGACCUUAGCAAAAUCAUAGAUGAUUGUUACCUGUAUUCCUUGCCUACCUACUUGAUGUGCAUUUGUUGUAGAUGUGCUAGUGCUUGAUAUAAUCCAUGAUCUUGUAAGAUGAUUAAUAGCUAUGCAAUGAACAUAAAAGAAUGACACAUAUAACUGUAUGAGAUCUUGUCUGUAAGUGAUCACCGGGACAACAGUGCAACCAUGAGGGCUAUUAUGGCUCUGGCUUUAGCUCAGUAUGAAGCCCUUUUCUAGCUUGUUAGCGGUUACCCGAAAGGGCGGAGGGGCUGAACCGUUUUGGGUAUAGUGUGGCCUCUGUCUGUAUGAGUAUAGGCUGCGAGUCAUUGUGCCAUCGGAAGGGGGGCUCUAUAUCUGCGCGCAAAGGAAACCUUGCGGCCCUAACAUGUUAGACGAACUUUUGAAAGGCUUCAUAGUGAUCCCUGCCGACCUUCCUUGGGAGUGGGUUAAGAGGCUGAUCACCUCGGGCGAAAGGGUAAAUCAUGACUCAUGGGUAAAGAUGUACAACCUCUGCAGAGUGUAAAACUGGUAUACUAGCCGUGCUCACGGUUAUGAGCGGCCUUGGGGGUUCUUGCUGCGACGACGAUGAGCUUAUUAAGUUGUUAUGUUCAUUGGAUUAUCGUUUAUGCUAUGAGUUAAUUAUGCUUACAUUUGAUCAGGGGAUUAAUGGAUUAUCUAAGCUUCCUUGACAAUUGCUAUUUAAUUAUGAACAUGCUAUCCACUAUUAAAAGCUAAAUGCAGUCAAACCAGUGUCAGUUAAUUGAGCCUCAUGAACCCCUGGUUAUACUUGUUGAGUACGAUAUGUGCUCACUCUUGCAAUUUCCCAACACCUCAGGAUAUGAUAUUGAAGAUGACUGGAAUGAGGAUUACCGUAAUGAGUACUAGGUUUGGAGUCAACCAGUCAACAGUGUCCCUGUGUGGAGCUUCCGUCGAGAGCGUUGUUUACUUUAUGCUAUCAUUUUUAUAUGAGACUAUGUGAUUCAAUAUAUAUUCCGCUAUGUAAUAAACACUGCAAUGGUACAUUUGAGAUUUGUCUACUUAUGUGUGCGACUGUUUCUGGGGCACAUAUGAGUCUUUUAUGCAUCCUAUUUUGUUCUUAAAAUAUGGGUGUGACACCUAUCGGCUCUUAUUCGGAACCAUGCCCCUAAAACCAACAUACAUUCAGCUCUAGAUGGAAGAUCAGACAUUUCGAGAGGUUAAAGGUACAGUAACUGAUGUCCCUAUCAAAAUAGACGAUCAUUUUGUCUACACAGACUUUCAGGUUAUUGACAUGGGAGAAGAUGAAUACGAUCCACCCAUCAUCCUUGGAAGACCGUUCCUCAACACCGUUAAAGCAAUCAUCUACAUUGGAACUGGAGAAGUCCAUAUGCACUUCCCCUCAGAGAAGGUAUGCCGCUAUUUUACUGACCCUAACUAUAUCGUUGAAGACUCUAAGCAGGUCAGAAAACGACGCAACCGCAACCAGAGGAGGGAAAUCAUCAAUGAUGGAUGGGCAGACUAUGAAGGAGAAGUGGUAAGGUCAGAAGACAUACAGUUUAAACAGAAUUAUCCAGAGGAGACCGUAGCACCGAGUCAGGUGUGGAGAGAGAAGACUACUAUACACGAAGAAGAGGCGCUACUGGAAGCACCGACUGCGCCACUCAACGAAUCCCAGGACAACUAAGAAAACGGAGAGUCCCGUUCGGAGGACUUAAAAACACCGAACGCCUUGCCAAGAGGUAAACUUGGUAGUUAUCCUUUCCCUUUCAAUUAUUUAAAAUAGUUUACUUAAUUAGUUAUAUUUAUACUAUCCGAAAAAGAAAAUAAAAAUGUUAAAAAAACAGUAAGCCCCAUGUGAGUAUACGAGUGGCAUAAAACCCAUAAGUGCAUUCACUGUGGUGACAUAAAAAUAAAAUAAAUAUUUCUUUUCUGCUUUAUAAAAUGAAAAUAUAAAAAUAGAGAGUAAUAUUGAGGAGACUCAACAUGAUAAAGGCUAGAUAUUUAUGCUAACACCUAAUCAGUUCCCCAAAGCUUUGUUGUUUAUUUGAGCUCCACAGAAAUCAAGAAUCAAGAAGACUAGCAGACGGAGGACAUUCUAAUCACUGUCAGGAUACUGCCGACUUUCAAAUACACCUCUGCCACCUGCUAGCUACAUCAAGAGAAAUUACGUCAAAAUUCAGCUUGGGGGAGAGCACCCCCAUUUACACUUAUAUUAUAUUAGAAUAUAAAUAUACAUAAACCAGAAAAAACCAAAUAAAGAUUUUGUGCCUAUAUAAAUAUAUGUCUUUUGCUUAGUGUGUUUAAUAAAUAAAUAAAGUGGCUAUUCUAAACUGUAUCUAAAUAAAACUCUAGUAUGGAUAUGAUGAAUAGUUGCUCGACCUAAUUUGCAAAUUUGAAGUUCUCUCACUAGUUUAGACAUAACUGUUAUAAUUUAAAGCUUGCUCUAAACCUAAACUUGUUGGAAGAAAACUUGAUCUGAAGUCUAAGUUGUUAACGGAUACGAUAUGGGAAGGUUGAGCUGCUGUUUAUCUGUUCCUAGAGAUGCUAGAAAUUCUGGAGAAUUUUAUCUUUUAAAAUCUUUAAAGUAGCACAUGAUGAGUUCCUGUAUGAUGAGAGUUUAAAUUCCUACCACAGCCAUAUAUACAUGCUUAUUAGAUUUUGAGCCACACAUUUACUUUUUACUGCUUAUGAGCAUUGAGUGUGGUCAAGUUGUGUAGACCCUUAGGAGCUUGUCAUGUGGUUAAAUCAAGAUUCACUUGCACGUUCAUUCACACAUGCUACUUCUACUCCGGAAGUACGCAUCCACAUAUAUCCACCCAUUUCCAUCUCUAGAACCACCCAAAAAUAUUCUACUCCUAAUAUGGGAGAGAAUGGCCAAAAAUAUUUCUGUUUCCCCUGUGAAAUAAAUGCUCAAGUUAUCUUGUUACUACCACUUGCUAUAUUAUCUCAAGAGAUGAGUGCUCUAAAAAAAGUAUACCAGGAAAUAAAAAGGGGCAAGUGCCCGGAACCUCGAAAGAAAAGAAAAAGUGAGACGAGAGGUAAAAAUGGACAAGUGUCCGACAGUAGAAUUAGGGGUACAAGAUACCCACCUGAGAGGAAAGAAAAAGAAAAAAAAGAAGAAGAGCAUCUCAUUCUCCUCACAAAGUUUCAGAGAGCAAGGAAAGUAUGUAUCCCCUCAAAGAGCAAAAGUAGAAUUAGACUUCCACCAUUGUUAUCACCAUCAUCACCAUACACCAUUCAUUCGCCACACAUGCACAUCUUGAUUUGACUUAUUGAUUUGUUUCUUUGGAUCCAUAGUUUGACUAUACAAUAAAUGUCUUAUCAAGCCUUAUUAGAGUAGGGUGAGAGAGAAGGCAAUGUUACUAUGCCUUAUACCACAAAUACCACAUAUCUUGAGAGAAGAUAUAUACCAUCACUGUCUUGGUAAGGAUCCAAAAAUACCACAAAAGAGAGAUAUGAGAGUCAUACAAAGGAAUCUCUGAGUUUUAUUCAAAAAUCUCCAAAAACUCCAGAGCUAUAGCUGAUCAAGAAUAAGAGACAUGGCACUUGACUAGACUGUUCUAUCUUUUAACUACUCAAGACAGAAGUGACGGUUACAAGUCCCAUGGUGAAAGGUAAAAUGAAUAAGUUUUAAGUCUUGACAGUUUACUCUAACUCAGAGAUGAGAUCCUAUUUAAAAGCAUGUGUACCGUCAAUUUUUAAAAGUAUUGCAACAACUUCUGAUUGAUCACUGAAAUUAUCCUUGCUCAGGGACGAGCAAGAGGUAAGCUUAGGGGAGUUUGUUGACGGUCCUUAAGUAUCAAAUUUAAUUAACAAAUAAACAAAGAAAAUGAUCCAAAUGAAAUCAACAUCUAGACUUAGGGUUUUAUCUGACAGAAUUCUAUGAGUUUUGGUGUUUGUCUAUUUCUGCAGGGGGUUAUCAGGAAAUAAGGAAGAAAGGCCCACACGUCGGGAUUACAUAGAGAUAUCAAUGUGCCGCGCAAUUAUCUUACAUCUAGAAGACUCUAGAAGCCAUGGGAAGGAAGCGGAGGCCGAACGGGGCCAGGCACUGGGCGCCCGCCCAGUUGACCUGGGCGCCGGCCCCCUCUCAGAGUUCAAUUAGGACUCUCUUUCGGGAAAGAUCUCCACCGACCUAAAGGAUCAAGGAUAACCGUUCAAUCAAUGUCGGUUUGAUCCAACGGCCCAUAUUCACUUGAAGGGACUAUAAAACCAGACCCCCUGGCCCCUGGAGGAGAGAGCCUCUCAACCCUAAUUCAUUAUUCCUCAGGGGAGAAGAAGCCUCUGAUCAAGCCUAGCCACCACAUCAAUUAGACAUCUAGAUUAGCAUAGCUACAUAGGAUUAGAACUAGAAGGAGUCAAUCUUCGAUUGGUUUCCGGAUCUGUCAAGAGGAUUCUUGGUAAUUCUCUAAUUGUUCUUCUAAUUGUUCUUCUAAUCAUCUUUGUUCUUCAAUAUUAUGAAUAUGACUUUGUUCUACUUCAAUAUAUUACUUAUGACUUUGCUCUACUUGCUUAUAUUCAAGAUUAUAUUGUUCUUAGUUUAUCAUAAUUAUAUACUUGGCUUAGUUAGAUUGGAUCUGUAUACAUGUUUAGGAUCGUAUAGUGUUUAUCCAUCGGAUCCAUGGGUAAAUGAUAGAUAUUGUGUAGGCGUGGUGCUUAUACCGUAUUUAUCUGCGAUUGUACCCAAUAUGCCAGAUCGUGGGGUAGUUCGUGAUAGUGACAGCUUCAUUGAUUCUUAUAUAGUCCUCCUCUCGUGUAUUGGGCUGGCAGAGCAAUAUUAUUACAGGGUAGUGAUUGCUAUGUUUCUCAUUUACCUUGCUAAUAUCACUAUGCAUGGGCGUAGUCUUGUCUCACAAUGAUUGCUAAGUAUGCUUGCACUAACUAUAAUAAUUCUAGACUAUAUAGUUGAGAAUAACUUAGGAAACAUUCUUGUAGUUUGUUCUAAUACCAUGCUAAUGACUUUCUAGAGUAUCUAAUUGAGGUGCUUAUCAUAUUUAUUAUGUGGCUAAG